ensembl:lncRNA
UGCAGAUUUCAUGAGAAACUCCCCUGUGUAGAUCAUUGGAACAGCUCGUAUCUACAUGGCAGAACAUUUAAGCAUGCAGUUAUAGACACAUUGAAGUGCAUUUCCAAAUGCUUUGAUGAUUCUGGCUCGUUGUUGGAUCCUAAGGGCUGAGAAAGGAAAUAGGACAUAUCCAAGCUUAGGUUUUGGCUGGAAGAUGUUUGGGGAAAUUUGUCUUUCCAUAUAGAUAUAGAAAGCUAGCAAAGCUCUGGUACAGGGCGAGAAUUCAAACCUUGGAAAGUAGGAUUUGACCUGUACACACAAAUAUGUAAUUCUUUUUCAUAAGAACAACAACAACAACAAAAAAUCCAUUUAUAGAAACUAUUGUUCUGGGGAGGUAAACAAGCUACAUGGAUCUGAGAAAAAAAAUGGUGCAUGUCUACAUAAAGAAUAAGGAGCAAUCGCUUGCCUCUGCAAAUCAAUAAAAGUCAAGAAAUUCCAAAAGGUAGAAGCUUCAGACCAUAGAAAAGACGCUAGAGAUAACAUUUCUCUGCAAUUUUGUCUCUGGCUUUGAGCAAAGCUGACUGACAACAGAAUGAAGUACAAAGGCCUUGGAUAUAAUAUACUGCUCCUGUAGACUGCAAUGGUCUCUGCAGGCUCCAGCAGAAGACCCUUGUGGGUGAAUGCAGAUAAUCGCUGGGAGAAGAAAGGGGAGAAUUUGUAAACCAGGAAAAAACAAUGCUUCAGGCUUUUACAUGUCAUCCAGUCAAAAUCUGUUACGCUACAAAGAUCUUCAGAUGUGUAUGACAUUCCUGCCUACAGUGCUGAGUGUUUAUAUAUGGGCAGAUUACUCCCUAGUGUCCUCUGAAGAUGAUACUGGCCACACUGAAUGAACUGACAUUUUUCAGUAUUCAUUUAAGCCCCAGUUAAUGCUAAAUUCCACCCUUUGAGUUCAAUGAAUCAAAAUUGAAUGCUAAUAAUUACUGUAUUUGCAAUCCCACAGGCUUUACCACCCUUGAGACAGAGCAUAAGCAUUCAAUUAAAGAGGGAUGAAACUCAAAGUGCUGCCUUGUAAAUUGGCCCAAAUAUCAUACAGUAAAUUACGUGUUUUUAAGGUUUACGUGAACUCAUAAGAUAUCUGAGAGAUAUUGUUGCUACGGAGUCCAUUAAGAAGGGGUGAAUUUUUAUCAAUUCUAGUGAAGGCAAAUGGUCUAGACAAAAAGGCUGACACAUUCACUGCAUGAGUAUUAAUAUAGUCUUGAUUGUCUUUUUCUCAGUAUCUUCAUAACUUUUCAUGUGACCUUCCUUGUAAAUCUUUUUAAAACUUUAUCACAGUAGGAAUGAAGUAAAUGUUUGUGGACACUGUCACAGUUCAUUAUACUCCCAUCACAUCCUGAGACCACAUAUUAAUAUCAAUAUCUGAGGAAGAUUCUCAAGCUUUGCUGCUUAAGAUAUCAGCUUUAAAUAAGCUCAGUCUCUUGGGGUGAUUGUUUGGGUUUGAGGAAGGAGAACAGAUAAAAUCACACAUUUGGCAAGGAAGAUACAAAAGGAACUGCUUUUAGUGAACAAGAAUGAACAUCUUUUCAAAAGGAAGCUUAAACAAAGGACAAAACUUGAAUAAAUUAGUUUAUUUUGUACUUUUUCUACAGAGUGUUUUAAUACUGUCCAGUAGUACAAAUACGAUCAAACAGCCUCUGAUGAUAAAAACCUACCACUAUUUCUAUUUAUUUAUUUUUUAUUGGGCACACAGUACAAGCUCACUUGCAGGUAUUUAGAAUGUACAAAACAAUUUAAGUUUGAGAUCCUUUUUUUCAUGUGUCAGAGCAAUAGGAGAUGUAUUAAAAAGAGGAUCUUUUUCUUUAAUACCUUUAAAAAAUAUAUAUUAUUUUUUUCCAGGCUAUCUGACUAAGUAUAUGGAAUAGAGUAGAACUGUAGAAUCACAGAACCAUAGAAUCAAAUAAUCAUUCUGAGCCAUCUAGUCCAACUAUUGACCCAUCACCGCAAUGCCAACUAAAACAGGUCCCUAAAGAAGUAUGAGAAGCAAGAAGUGAGUUGUAGCUACUGAAAUGUAUGCCCCACCCUACACCCCCCCCCCCUUUUUUUUUCAGAAAAUUUCCCUUUUGUAGAUGUACAUAAUUAUUAGUAUUUAUAAACUCUGUUUUUAAUGUGUAUUUUUCCUUAUCAUACGGUUAUAACAUGUUACUGUCUGUCACUGCAUUUGUAUUUUCAUACAUGCCCCAUCUGUAAACUUCUGGUCAUCUUGUUUUAUUUUGGUAGGAUUUGUAUGUAUGAAGCAAAAUGUGUAUGUGAGAGUAUAAAUAAGCAAAACCAUCAGGAUGGUAAAAUAUUCCUAAGCCUGUGGUGUCGGCCUAAUUUUCCUCCUAUGAAAAUCAGCUGUAAAGCUCCUAUUGCCUUGGGGUAAAGCUAAUCUGUCGCUGAACACCUUUGAAAAUCCCAUCUCUGGUGCCCAGAAAUCUCAUUAUACUACUGUAGGGCAGAAGUAAUUGCUCAUAGCAUAAAGCAAAGUUAUAACUGAGCCAUAAGAAAAUAUGAAAUUGCAAAAUGGUGGAACAUGAACAAAACACAGUUUAGAAGAAAAGAUAGAACUUCUCUGUGAAUCAAGAAUGCAAGUUCCCAGUCUCUGAGUGAAUCAAUGGAUUAUACCUGGAAAGAGAGCAAUUAAAAAGACAAAAAACAAAGCAAAAGUCAGGCACGUAAAAAACAAAAUGACAAAGAAAAAGAAACAACAACAACAAACAACUGAACCCCACUGAAGUCAACUUGUAAGCAAUUAAAAGUUUUGUACAUGCAUUGAUUUUAAAACAAUACUAUUUUGAACUUUGUAUCGCUGUGCUUGUGACAAGAAUUCAUCUUGAAAAAUGAAACACUUUGAAAUGCAAUUAAAAUCAAUGUCUUUCUUUGACACAGGCCCUUUAAAUACAUUGUGUGUGAUUUGUCUUAAAAAUACACUACUUUCCGAGGAGCCUCAAGCCAGUGCCUGCAAAAAAAGAAGCGUUGGAAAUGUCCUGGUUUCUACAGUGGAAUGACCAGUUUCCCUCCUGCAGGAGACUGUCUGAUUACUGUGGCGGUUGAGUGGUGAGGCACUGGAUCAGGCUGUACACUGAGAAGUGUGGAUACCCCAUCUCUGGCAAAGUUCAAGUCCAGGUUGGAUGGUGCGCUGCUCACUCCUACCUAGUAUGAGGCAACCCUGCCCACAGCAGGGGGUUGGAGCUUAAUGAUCUUUAAUGUCCUUUCCAACAGAAGUCAUUCUAUGAUACUAUGAUUCUAUUCAUCUUUUCUUCAUAUUUUAUUUUAUGUUAUGUUAUGUUAUGUUAUUUUAUUUUGAACCUAACUGCAUAGAUACAUACUGUACAUUGUAAUUUAAUUCAAGUACUGUUUAGCUGACUACACAGUAAAAGGUGCUAUUCAGCCUAAAUGAUGGUGUCUCACUCUAAGAGAAUAAAGCUCUAUUGAUUUGCUCUGUAGGGGUUUUUAUUUGUAUUGAAGGUGCUCUAACUUGUGAGGCAGAGCAGCCAUUUUUAAUUAUUACUUGUUGGCAUGGAAAGCAGAGAACUUGCAAUGUAAUGCAAUUUCAAAAUUUUACAUAAACAUCUACGUUCAUGGACAGAGUCCUUUAUCAUCCCUGAAUAUGAAGAAAAAUCAGCAGAGAACAUAAGAUUACAUAGGUUUAGGAUAAAUAGCACUUGGUAAAUUUGGAAUUAUGUCACACCUCCUCCUCAAACCCUGUGGCAACCUCUAGUCCAACUGGCAAAGCCUGAUCUAGAUGGGCACAAAUUGCAUAGUUCCAUAGAGGAAAAAAAUUCUUCAACUGCUUAGCAUUAGCAUUUUAGUCAGGCAAACUGCCACUUCAUCAAAGUCUUUUACAAAUCUGUCAGCAUAGCAGUCGUGAAUGUUAGAGUUUUCCAGCCAUUUUUGAGAUCAAAUGUUCUCCUUUCUGCCACAUUGUGUAUCCUUCCUUCACACUAUGAUUCUAUUCUCUUAGCACUUGCAAUGAACUUGAUAUUUUUUGUUUGCCACAUGGUCUAAAAAGCCAUUGUUCCCUUCUUUCAUGGGGGUUGCUGAGGCAUUCUUCCUGAAAAUCUCUCACUUGAAUGCUUGAACUACAUCCCUUGAAAGACAGAAGCUAAGUCACAGAGGUCUCUCAACUCUUGGCUUUGGAG